rnacentral:rRNA from 1 species
GACGAACGCUGGCGGCGUGCCUAAUACAUGCAAGUAGAACGCUGAAGAGAGGAGCUUGCUCUUCUUGGAUGAGUUGCGAACGGGUGAGUAACGCGUAGGUAACCUGCCUUGUAGCGGGGGAUAACUAUUGGAAACGAUAGCUAAUACCGCAUAACAAUGGAUGACACAUGUCAUUUAUUUGAAAGGGGCAAUUGCUCCACUACAAGAUGGACCUGCGUUGUAUUAGCUAGUAGGUGAGGUAACGGCUCACCUAGGCGACGAUACAUAGCCGACCUGAGAGGGUGAUCGGCCACACUGGGACUGAGACACGGCCCAGACUCCUACGGGAGGCAGCAGUAGGGAAUCUUCGGCAAUGGGGGCAACCCUGACCGAGCAACGCCGCGUGAGCGAAGAAGGUUUUCGGAUCGUAAAGCUCUGUUGUAAGUCAAGAACGAGUGUGAGAGUGGAAAGUUCACACUGUGACGGUAGCUUACCAGAAAGGGACGGCUAACUACGUGCCAGCAGCCGCGGUAAUACGUAGGUCCCGAGCGUUGUCCGGAUUUAUUGGGCGUAAAGCGAGCGCAGGCGGUUUGAUAAGUCUGAAGUUAAAGGCUGUGGCUCAACCAUAGUUCGCUUUGGAAACUGUCAAACUUGAGUGCAGAAGGGGAGAGUGGAAUUCCAUGUGUAGCGGUGAAAUGCGUAGAUAUAUGGAGGAACACCGGUGGCGAAAGCGGCUCUCUGGUCUGUAACUGACGCUGAGGCUCGAAAGCGUGGGGAGCGAACAGGAUUAGAUACCCUGGUAGUCCACGCCGUAAACGAUGAGUGCUAGGUGUUGGAUCCUUUCCGGGAUUCAGUGCCGCAGCUAACGCAUUAAGCACUCCGCCUGGGGAGUACGACCGCAAGGUUGAAACUCAAAGGAAUUGACGGGGGCCCGCACAAGCGGUGGAGCAUGUGGUUUAAUUCGAAGCAACGCGAAGAACCUUACCAGGUCUUGACAUCCCGAUGCUAUUUCUAGAGAUAGAAAGUUACUUCGGUACAUCGGUGACAGGUGGUGCAUGGUUGUCGUCAGCUCGUGUCGUGAGAUGUUGGGUUAAGUCCCGCAACGAGCGCAACCCCUAUUGUUAGUUGCCAUCAUUCAGUUGGGCACUCUAGCGAGACUGCCGGUAAUAAACCGGAGGAAGGUGGGGAUGACGUCAAAUCAUCAUGCCCCUUAUGACCUGGGCUACACACGUGCUACAAUGGUUGGUACAACGAGUUGCGAGUCGGUGACGGCAAGCUAAUCUCUUAAAGCCAAUCUCAGUUCGGAUUGUAGGCUGCAACUCGCCUACAUGAAGUCGGAAUCGCUAGUAAUCGCGGAUCAGCACGCCGCGGUGAAUACGUUCCCGGGCCU